rnacentral:lncRNA from 1 species
AUUUUGAGAAAAAUGGGUUAAAUUUUGGGUUCUGUGAGUAUUUUUAAAAGAAAAAUUAGAAACUAGGGGUCAAAAUAGAAUUUAGAAAAAAUUUGCCACAUACGACGCCCAGUCAGCAGCCGCGACGAACUGGAGUGCACUGCGUGGUAAGGCACUCUGACGCGGUGCCACGCGGGAGGUCACGCUUGCAAUCUGCGUGCCUGCGAU